AUCCAGCUGACGAGUCCUAAAUAGAACGAAAUACAAGUUCUAGAU
rnacentral:hammerhead_ribozyme from 1 species